UAGGGAAUCUUCCACAAUGGGCGCAAGCCUGAUGGAGCAACACCGCGUGAGUGAAGAAGGGUUUCGGCUCGUAAAGCNCUGUUGUUAAAGAAGAACACGUAUGAGAGUAACUGUUCAUACGUUGACGGUAUUUAACCAGAAAGUCACGGCUAACUACGUGCCAG
rnacentral:rRNA from 1 species